UACGGGGGGGGCAAGCGUUGUUCGGAAUUACUGGGCGUAAAGGGCUCGUAGGCGGCCAACUAAGUCAGACGUGAAAUCCCUCGGCUUAACCGGGGAACUGCGUCUGAUACUGGAUGGCUUGAGUUUGGGAGAGGGAUGCGGAAUUCCAGGUGUAGCGGUGAAAUGCGUAGAUAUCAGGAGGAACACCGGUGGCGAAGGCGGGUCUCUGGGCCGAUACUGACGCUGAGGAGCGAAAGCUAGGGGAGCGAACAGG
rnacentral:rRNA from 1 species